GACGAACGCUGGCGGCGUGCUUAACACAUGCAAGUCGAGCGGUAAGGCCCUUUCGGGGGUACACGAGCGGCGAACGGGUGAGUAACACGUGGGUGACCUGCCCUCAGCUCUGGGAUAAGCCUGGGAAACCGGGUCUAAUACCGGAUAUGACUCCAUGACACAUGUUGUGGGGUGGAAAGCCUUGUGCGGCUGAGGAUGGGCCCGCGGCCUAUCAGCUUGUUGGUGGGGUGAUGACCUACCAAGGCGACGACGGGUAGCCGGCCUGAGAGGGCGACCGGCCACACUGGGACUGAGACACGGCCCAGACUCCUACGGGAGGCAGCAGUGGGGAAUCUUGCGCAAUGGGCGAAAGCCUGACGCAGCGACGCCGCGUGAGGGAUGACGGCCUGGUGU
rnacentral:rRNA from 1 species